AGCUCCAAGAGCGUAUAUUAAUACUGCUGUAGUUAAAACGCCCGUAGUAUACCUAAGAGUGUGCGUGUAGUAAUUAGUUUUGUCAGAGGACGGUCGGCGAGUGUUUAUCACACUUGCUUGCUUACUUUUGGCAAACUUCAGUCGGGCUGGAUCUUUGGUCCUCGUCUGACAGUUGCUGCGCGUGUACUUGUCCACGGUUCAUCCGUGAGGCCCAUUUGGGUUGCAACUGUAAAUAAAUCGUUGUGCUUAAAGCGGGCUAUGAUACUCUGCCAGAGCGAUUUAGCAUGGGACUGCAGAGUAGCUGUAUUUGAGUGAAGGUUGUACUUCGGUAUGGCUGGAGCUUGGUACAGCGCUUGUAAUGGAGCUCAGGGUGAGGCCCCGGGUACCAUGAGGCUAGAGGUGAAAUUCUGAGACCCUCAUGUGACCAACUAAGGCGAAAGCUGUCGUGGGCCACCACAAGCUCGUCUAUCAGGGACGAAAGUUGGGGGAUCGAAGACGAUUAGAUACCGUCGUAGUCCCAACUAUAAACGAUACCAACCGAGUAUUUGGGAAGACACUAUCCCAGCGAUCUUCUCAGAACUCAAGGGAAACCUUAAGUCUUUGGGUUCUGGGGGGAGUAUAGUCGCAAGACCGAAACUUAAAGGAAUUGACGGAAAGGCACCACCAGGAGUGGAGUCUGCG
rnacentral:rRNA from 1 species